ACCUACGGGGGGCAGCAGUGGGGAAUAUUGCACAAUGGGGGAAACCCUGAUGCAGCGACGCCGCGUGAGUGAAGAAGUAUUUCGGUAUGUAAAGCUCUAUCAGCAGGGAAGAAAUACUGACCUUACGGUCAGCAGACGGUACCUGACUAAGAAGCCCCGGCUAACUACGUGCCAGCAGCCGCGGUAAUACGUAGGGGGCGAGCGUUAUCCGGAUUUACUGGGUGUAAAGGGAGCGUAGACGGUUCUGCAAGUCUGAAGUGAAAGCCCGUGGCUUAACCGCGGAACGGCUUUGGAAACUGUGGAAC
rnacentral:rRNA from 1 species